AACUAUAACGGUCCUAAGGUAGCGAAAUUCCUUGUCAGGUAAGUUCUGACCCGCACGAAAGGUGUAACGAUUUGGGCGCUGUCUCGGCAGCAGACUCGGUGAAAUCUUAGUACCUGUGAAAAUGCAGGUUACCCGCAACUAGACGGAAAGACCCCAUGGAGCUUUACUGCAGCCUGAUAUUGAAUUCUGGUCAUACAUGUACAGGAUAGGUGGGAGACAAAGAGACGUGCACGCCAGUGUACGAGGAGUCGACGUUGGGAUACCACUCUUGUGUGACCGGGGUUCUAACCUGGUAUCGAGAACAGGUACGGGGAGAGUGUCAGGUGGGCAGUUUGACUGGGGCGGUCGCCUCCCAAAGAGUAACGGAGGCGCCCAAAGGUACGCUCAGAUUGGAUGGAAACCAAUCGACGAGUGCAAUUGCAGAAGCGUGCUUGACUGUGAGACAGACAAGUCGAACAGGGACGAAAGUCGGGAAUAGUGAUCCGGCGGUGCCGAAUGGAAGGGCCGUCGCUCAACGGAUAAAAGCUACCCUGGGGAUAACAGGCUGAUCUCGCCCAAGAGUUCACAUCGACGGCGAGGUUUGGCACCUCGAUGUCGGCUCAUCGCAUCCUGGAGCUGGAUUCGGUUCCAAGGGUUGGGCUGUCCGCCCAUUAAAGCGGUACGCGAGCUGGGUUCAGAACGUCGUGAGACAGUUCGGUCCCUAUCUGUUGUGGGCGAAGGAGAUCUGCGGAGAGCUGUCCUCAGUACGAGAGGACCGGGAUGGACCUACCGCUGGUGCACCGGUUGUUCCGCCAGGGGCAUAGCCGGGUAGCUAAGUAGGGAAAGGAUAAGCGCUGAAAGCAUCUAAGCACGAAGCCUACUCCAAGAUGAGAUCUCCCAUUCGCAAGAAGUAAGACCCCUUAAAGACGAUAAGGUAGAUAGGCCAGGGAUGGAAGUGCAGUGAUGUACGGAGUUGACUGGUACUAAUCGGUCGAGGACUUAAUCAG
rnacentral:rRNA from 1 species